rnacentral:lncRNA from 1 species
AGAAGAGGGUACCACUCGUUAACGUCUAUCGAGCAUUCAUGUUGCAAGACCUCGGGCAAACCCUUCGGACUCUGUGAGCCUCAGUUUCCCCAUGUGCACAAUUGGCUAAUAACAGCUUUUACCUCCCAGGUUGUCACGGGACUCAAUGAGAUGAUCCCUCGGCAUGGUGUCUGGUAGUCAGUGAGCACUGAGUAAGUGUCAGCUCCUAUUAUUGCUGGUGCCGUUGACGUGGUUGACGUCUGAAGGCUGUUGGCGAUUCCACUUGUUCUGUGUUGUCCCUGGAUGUCUAGCUGGGACCUUCAAGAGGAGCCUCCAGGAGGCAGAGUUCAGCUCUGGAGAGGGGGCUUUCGGAUCAGAGCAGCCGGCGAUGCCGUGUUUGAGCUGACAUCCCUUCCGGCACCGUCCUCCUCCCUCUUGCCCGCCCCGCGUCCGCUGGUCUUCCGCUCGUGGUGGUUCCUCCCCUGGAAAGAAGGACUUGAAUCCACUUCCACCUGCCUCAAGGCCUAGACUCCUAACCCCUGCCUCCACCCUCUCCUGGGCCCCCAUGAUAACGAUGGUAAAAAGGGCUGAGGUGUUGCCAGUGGAGUGGAGCUGAUGUUUGCUCAGCCGUGGCAAACUAACAUAGUGACGAUGACAAGCUGGUCUUGCAGAUCGGACCCCCCUGGAGCUCCCUGCUGGAUGAUGACGAGGACGAAUGCCAGCGGGUCUGGACCACUGCUCUCUACACCGGCCAUGGAAAAGGAUUGUCUUUGUCCUCUCCAGAUCCUGGCUCUGCUCUCUGCCUCCCCAUCCCCCAAACGAGGCAGCAGGUAGUGGAUGGUUGACAUGCCUGUUUCCUUCUCUGACAAGGUCAGUUGCCCUGUGAAUGUCUCCAUCCAUCUUACCUGGAGUCAAGCAGCUUCUCUGCCAAGUGUCCAGAACAGAGCCUGAAGGAGACAGGCUGUGUCCCUGACUCCUGCUGGAUCCCCAGGGAAUCCCGGGCCUUCCCCUUUGGAGGGAGAACACGCUGGCAGGGCUGCAGGCUUCUCAGGUGCUCUCAUCCAUCCUGAGCACAACUGGCUAGGAGGGCCUCCCUGGAGAGUGUGCAGAGCCUGAGGCCGGCUGCUUCCUUUGGGUGCAAGGGAGCACAAGGACAGGACGCCAACCCAGGUGCACCUUCAGAGCCAGGCCGUGUGCCAUCAAGAAGGCCCUGCCCCACGCUCCCCGCUUGUUCAACCAGCACAAAGGCAAAUGGCCAAGGGAAGAUUACUAAGCAUCUCUCAUGGGUCCCCUUCUCUCUCCCCUCUGCCCGACCCACAUCAGGCCCUGCUGGCCCUGCCUGGACACUGCCCAGUCCUCCUGGCCCCCAGACCUACCCUCACAUGGUUGUCAGGUGCUCUUU